GGUCUCCCUCUGUUGUCCAAGGCUGGAGUGUAGUAGUGCUAUCACAGCUGACUGCAGCCUCAACCUUCUAGGCUGAAGCGAUCCUCCCAUCUCAACCUCCCACGUGGCUGAGACUACAGGUGCUUGCCACUAUGCCCAACUAAUAUUUGGAAUUUUCGUAUACGUGGAUUCCAGAGGGGUGACAGCGAAAUUAGGUGACCUCACAGUGACUCAAGCUACCACUUACUGUUGAUUGUGACGAAAUGCCAGCUGAGGCACAUGCCUUGGGAGCUAAGUGGUUGCUGCACUUGACCACUGUGAAGACUGGUGUGGGAAGAAGGGUCGUUUCUGAUGCACUUGAGCAGGGGUCCCCAACCCCUGAGCCAUGGAGCCGCAAGGAGCCACACAGCAGGAGGUGAGUGGUGUCGAGUGAGGGAGUGAGGAAAGCUUCGUCUGUAUUUACAGCCACUCCCCUUUGCUCACAUUCCCGCCUGAGCUCCACCUUCUCAGAUCAGCAGCAGCAUUAGAUUCUCAUAGAACGCACCCUGUUGUGAACCGUGCAUGUGAGGGAUCUAGGUUGCGCUGUCCUUAAUGAGAGUCUAAUACCUAUUGAUCUGUCACUUCCUCCCAUCACGCUCAGGUGGGACCAUCCAGUUGCAGGAAAACAAGCUUAACACGCCCACUGAUUCUACAUUAUGGUGAAUUCUAUAAUUAUUUUAUUAUAUAUUACAGUGUAAUAAUGGAAAUGAAGUGCCUAAUAAAUGUGAAUGUGCUUAAAUCUUUUGGCCCAGCUCCUACCUCCCGGCAGCCUCUCCAGGCCCAGAACUUUCUCCAGUCAGCCUCUACAGACCAAGCUCAUGACUCACAAUGGCCUAUUUAGGCCCAUACCC
rnacentral:lncRNA from 10 species